UAAUUCCCAAGCAAGAGACAGGCUCAGGCUAGCUAGCUAGGUCUCUCUAYUCAGUUAGAGAGAGAAAGAAAAAGAAAACAAGGGGAAGAGAGAGAGAGAGGCAUGGAAUAUGGAGGAGGAGGAGGAGAUGGGUUCCAUAGCUACAGAAGGCAGCAGCCAAACACAAAACCAAGCUCUGCUUUGAACAUGUUGCUGACCACAAACAAGCCAUCCGCCAACAACCACCACCACCACUUAAACGGCCAAAACGCCACCACCACCACCAACUCCUCYGCUGCUGCCGCCCCGACCCUGGCCCCGGCCGCUGCUGC